ACCUGGGUGGCUCAGUUGGUUAAGCAUCUGUCUUCGGCUCAGGUCAUGAUCUCACAGUUUGUGAGUUCAAGCCCCACUUUGGGUG
rnacentral:tRNA from 1 species